GAAUCAACAUUAAGAUGUUUUGUAGAAAUUAUUUUAGUGCAUUGAAUAUUACGUCCUAAAUUGAUGUGUAUUAUAAUACUACAUACAUACAUUUUUUGAUCGGUUACUACAUACAUACAUAUACCGGGUGGGAGGUCACUUAGCAAUCUCAACCUUUGAUAUUGAUAUAUGCAAACAUAUAUAUGAGGGGCGAUGAGGGGCCCCAUAUUAGUUUUCGCCCCGGGCCCCCGAAAUCUCAGGACCGGCCCUGCAGGGCGGCCAGACCAGGUGGCAAAUGUGGUGCAUGAGUCAACCUCACAACGUACUAUGGUGUCUAGGAUGGGGGUGGUGUAACAUGACGCUUUCUAGAAGCAUGUUAUCGAACAUCUCCACAGAAUCCCGAGCUUGCCUAAUUCCCAAAGCAUGUUAUCAUAAGGAUGAUUACGGAGGACAACUCUCUGAAUUCCCAAAGCACUAAUCUUGUCCUAAUUGCUCAUAUAUUGAAUCACUUUUCGCUGCAAAUAUGUUUUCUAUGCGUUCCUUCUUACAACCAGGACAUUUACUUCCCAAAGAGUUGGUCAACUAAAAAGGACAAGGUGUUUGAGACUGCUUUUAUCUGCUCUGAAGUUUCCCCUUAAACACAACUUUUCAGGAUCCAUAUGAGCUUGGUUACGCACUAAAUUAUUCUGGAGGAUCUCAGGUAAUCAUUGCAGUUGAAGAUUACGCCCCUGGUCAUGAUUCUCAUUUUCAAACUUGCCAUUCAUCAUAGGUUUUGGAUGGAGUGUAUUCAUGCAUUAUAUUGGAGCAGGGACCUUCCGAGGAGGGGGAUACCAUGGGGAGGCGAACCUGGUAAAGUAGGGGUGGAAAGUAG